AACGAACGCUGGCGGCAGGCUUAACACAUGCAAGUCGAACGCCCCGCAAGGGGAGUGGCAGACGGGUGAGUAACGCGUGGGAAUCUACCCAGUUCUACGGAACAACACAGGGAAACUUGUGCUAAUACCGUAUACGCCCUACGGGGGUAAGAUUUAUCGGAAUUGGAUGAGCCCGCGUUGGAUUAGCUAGUUGGUGGGGUAAUGGCCUACCAAGGCGACGAUCCAUAGCUGGUCUGAGAGGAUGAUCAGCCACACUGGGACUGAGACACGGCCCAGACUCCUACGGGAGGCAGCAGUGGGGAAUAUUGGACAAUGGGCGCAAGCCUGAUCCAGCCAUGCCGCGUGAGUGAUGAAGGCCUUAGGGUUGUAAAGCUCUUUCAGUGGGGACGAUAAUGACGGUACCCACAGAAGAAGCCCCGGCUAACUUCGUGCCAGCCGCCGCCGUAACAC
rnacentral:rRNA from 1 species